ACACUUACCGUGCAGGGGAGAUGCCACGACCCCGAAGGCGGUUUUCCCGGGGCGAGGCUUACCCACUGCGCUCCGGGUGUGCUGACCCCUGCGAUGUCCCCACACGUGGGCAAUUCGACUGCAUAAUCGUGGUGGUGGGGGGCUGCGUUCGUGCUCUCCCCUG